rnacentral:lncRNA from 1 species
AUGGAAGUCAUUUCAUCGAUGAAUCUUAUGGACCACACCUUAGGAGCACCCUUAUCUUCUCCCCUUCACAUUCUAACACCCUUAGAUUACUCACACACUCAUCUUCAUCCUCUCAUCGCAUUCACACACACCACCGUCGGAUCAAUGUAAUUCAAUGUGCAAAUGGAGACUGAAUCGAUCAUAGCCGGAUUGCAGGUGUUGGAGACCUAGAAUCACCACACGGCGGUACGGGUCACGGUUGUUUUGAGGUGGUUGAACGAUUUCGCGUUCAACCUUUGUGUCGUCUUCCCACCGCCACCACCAGAUCACCGCUAUCACCACCGCCGUCACCAUCACCGUUUCCACCAUCGUCACCACAACAAUGCCAUCACCACCACCAUCCCCGGUCUACCCUCACCACCACCAUCACAGAACCACCUUCACCAAGACUAGAGUUGUUCUUUUCUUUUGAUUAUGGUUUAAGUAUUAGGUACUAAGUUUUGAUAUGUAUAAUUUUUGCAACAUUAGGUUUGGUACUAUGUGGUUUGAUUAACUUUUCAUAUGUAU